UACGUAGGGUGCAAGCGUUAAUCGGAAUUACUGGGCGUAAAGCGUGCGCAGGCGGUUUGUAAGUCUGUCGUGAAAUCCCCCGGGCUCAACCUGGGAAUUGGCGAUGGAGACUGCAAGGCUAGAAUCUGGCAGAGGGGGGUGAGAAUUCCACGUGUAGCAGUGAAAUGCGUAGAGAUGGUGGAGGAACACCGAUGGCGAAGGCAGCCCCUGGG
rnacentral:rRNA from 1 species